AUUGAACGCUGGCGGCAUGCCUUACACAUGCAAGUCGAACGGCAGCACGGGUGCUUGCACCUGGUUGCGAGUGGCGAACGGGUGAGUAAUACAUCGGAACAUGUCCUGUAGUGGGGGAUAGCCCGGCGAAAGCCGGAUUAAUACCGCAUACGAUCUACGGAUGAAAGCGGGGUACCUUCGGGCCUCGCGCUAUAGGGUUGGCCGAUGGCUGAUUAGCUAGUUGGUGGGGUAAAGGCCUACCAAGGCGACGAUCAGUAGCUGGUCUGAGAGGACGACCAGCCACACUGGAACUGAGACACGGCCCAGACUCCUACGGGAGGCAGCAGUGGGGAAUUUUGGACAAUGGGCGAAAGCCUGAUCCAGCAAUGCCGCGUGUGUGAAGAAGGCCUUCGGGUUGUAAAGCACUUUUGUCCGGAAAGAAAUCCUUGGCCCUAAUACGGUCGGGGGAUGACGGUACCGGAAGAAUAAGCACCGGCUAACUACGUG
rnacentral:rRNA from 1 species